ensembl:ncRNA lncRNA:CR43984 long non-coding RNA:CR43984
GAAAUUGGCACCCAUCAGACGUGUCAAAGUGACAAUUUUUUAUUUACACUUCCCCCCUCCUCGACGACCGUGAUGAAUGACAAAAACAACAAUGGCAAAAAGCUCUCAUGACUCUGGUCACAUUUGCGUGCGAGAGCGACGUGAGAUGCAUGUAAAAAUUCGUAGGGGGUUGCAAAAGUGUGGCCAUGGCACAGGUAAAAAUGCUUUGACAUUUGUCUUUAUUACACAGAAAAUAAUUCAUUGUGUAUAAGUUUUAUAUACUAUAAAUCCGAACAUAUAAAUAAAAUGUACGCUCUACUG